rnacentral:tRNA from 1 species
GGGAAUGUGGCUUAGUGGUAGAGUGUUUGCCUAGCAUGCACAAAGCUCUGGGUUCGAUUCCUCAGUACCA